rnacentral:rRNA from 1 species
UACGUAGGGUGCAAGCGUUGUCCGGAAUUAUUGGGCGUAAAGAGCUCGUAGGCGGCUUGUCACGUCGGCUGUGAAAACCCGGGGCUCAACCCCGGGCCUGCAGUCGAUACGGGCAAGCUAGAGUUCGGCAGGGGAGACUGGAAUUCCUGGUGUAGCGGUGAAAUGCGCAGAUAUCAGGAGGAACACCGGUGGCGAAGGCGGGUCUCUGGGCCAAUACUGACGCUGAGGAGCGAAAGCGUGGGGAGCGAACAGG